AACGAACGCUGGCGGCAUGCCUAACACAUGCAAGUCGAACGAAGCCUUCGGGCUUAGUGGCGCCCGGGUGCGUAACGCGUGGGAAUCUGCCCCUUGCUUCGGAAUAACAGUUAGAAAUGACUGCUAAUACCGGAUGAAGUCUUCGGACCAAAGAUUUAUCGGCAAGGGAUGAGCCCGCGUAGGAUUAGGUAGUUGGUGGGGUAAAGGCCUACCAAGCCGACGAUCCUUAGCUGGUCUGAGAGGAUGAUCAGCCACACUGGGACUGAGACACGGCCCAGACUCCUACGGGAAGCAGCAGUGGGGAAUAUUGGACAAUGGACGCAAGUCUGAUCCAGCAAUGCCGCGUGAGUGAUGAAGGCCUUAGGGUUGUAAAGCUCUUUUACCAGGGAUGAUAAUGACAGUACCUGGAGAAUAAGCUCCGGCUAACUCCGUG
rnacentral:rRNA from 1 species